rnacentral:lncRNA from 1 species
GUUUAUUUUAUUCUCUGCCUCUACAACUUUACAUGCGGCGGUUAUUGCAGCUUCGUCGAUCAUCUCUUGUGAAACCGAAGGGGGUUGAUUGAUGUAUGAUUGCCGGGGUUUUACGUUUGUCUCCUUUGGUUUUGGGGUUGGGGCAGGUGUUGUUCUUGUUGUUGUUUCUGAUCCAUCUGGUAGCUUGUAGAAGUUCAGUAACUGUUGAGAGUUGGAAUAUAAACAAGACACAGAUUAAAAGAAAGAUGAAGAAACAUGUGACAGAGAAGAAAGAGAGGAGGCGUGCUUCAAAGACUUACAGGUUUUGAGUUGCUAACCUUUGAAAGUUUUCCCUGAGCUGCGAGCCGCCUCAGUCUUGAGCUAAGGACUCUUCUAAAAGUUGGCGGCACUUCAUGCCUUGGCUGCUCUUUCCACAAAUAAACCCACAAGGUCCGUUAGGAAAGGUUGUAGCAACUAACUUAAAAGUAGAAUCAAGAGAACUAUAACAAUGUGAAAAUAAACAUAACUAGCCCACCCUUAUAUGUAGUAGAUGAUGAGUCUCUACUAAACUGUUUAUCAGUUUACGAGGUUCUGACUUCUGAUCAAUGCCAAAAAAAAAAGAAGAGCAAAGAGAAAAUUGUAUCUAACCUCAAUGAAGCUGAAGAUGGAACCGACGUCAGAUCCAUUUGGAUCCGCUAACUCAGAGAUAGCUUCAAAUAUCAUCGCGUCAUACCUGAAAAUAGCAACUCAUUCAGAAGUUUAGCAAAGCAUGAUUGAUUAUCAUCUAAGGACAAACCUGGGAGCGUUCUUGUUAUCCACAACAAAGUUAUUAUCAACGCUAAAGUCAGAAGAAGCACUGCGUGGAAGGGAAGUAGCUGGCGAGGAGGAAGAAGAGUUAGCAUAAGGAGGUGGAGUAGCGGCAGCAGCAGUAGGUGAAAGAGAAGCAAGAGUAACGCCUUCUUCUUUGACUUUCCUCGUUCUCGACUUAUCAUUUGAGCAUUGAGUAGCAGGAGCAACACACAAGUGUUUAUGCAUCUCUUUAGCUAACUCCAGCAUAAGUUCGGUUUCAUCUGCAAGCUUAGUCGUCUUCUCCAACUCUUCCACUGCUGCUUUGGCGACGUUUAUUUUAUUCUCUGCCUCUACAACUUUACAUGCCGCGGUUAUUGCAGCUUCGUCGAUCAUCUCUUGUGAAACCGAAGGGGGUUGAUUGAUGUAUGAUUGCCGGGGUUUUACGUUUGUCUCCAUUGGUUUUGGGGUUGGGGCAGGUGUUGUUCUAGUUGUUGUUUCUGAUCCAUCUGGUAGCUUGUAGAAGUUCAGUAACUGUUG